rnacentral:rRNA from 1 species
GACGAACGCUGGCGGCGUGCUUAACACAUGCAAGUCGAGCGGUAAGGCCCUUCGGGGUACACGAGCGGCGAACGGGUGAGUAACACGUGGGUGACCUGCCUCUAGCUCUGGGAUAAGCCUGGGAAACUGGGUCUAAUACCGGAUAUGACUCCACGGCGCAUGUUGUGGGGUGGAAAGCCUUGUGUGGCUAGAGAUGGGCCCGCGGCCUAUCAGCUUGUUGGUGGGGUGANGGCCUACCAAGGCGACGACGGGUAGCCGGCCUGAGAGGGCGACCGGCCACACUGGGACUGAGACACGGCCCAGACUCCUACGGGAGGCAGCAGUGGGAAUCUUGCGCAAUGGGCGAAAGCCUGACGCAGCGACGCCGCGUGAGGGAUGACGGCCUGGUUGUAACUCUUCAGCCCUGACGAAGCGAGAGUGACGGUAGGGCGAGAAGAG